rnacentral:sRNA from 1 species
ACCUGAGCCCGAGCCGCGGGACACCGUCGCUCCUGCUCUCCGAAUGCUGCGCGCCGCGAUGGGCCCGAGGAGCUGGCUCGCCGCCCCAUGGGGCGCGCUGCCGCCUCGGCCACCGCUGCUGCUCCUGCUGCUGCUGCUCCUGCUGCAGCCGCCGCCUCCGACCUGGGCGCUCAGCCCCCGGAUCAGCCUGCCUCUGGGCUCUGAAGAGCGGCCAUUCCUCAGAUUCGAAGCUGAAAACAUCUCCAACUACACAGCCCUUCUGCUGAGCAGGGAUGGCACGACCCUGUACGUGGGUGCUCGAGAGGCCCUCUUUGCACUCAAUAGCAACCUCAGCUUCUUGCCAGGCGGGGAGUACCAGGAGCUGCUUUGGGGUGCAGACGCAGAGAAGAAACAGCAGUGCAGCUUCAAGGGCAAGGACCCACAGCGCGACUGUCAAAACUAUAUCAAGAUCCUCCUGCCGCUCAGCGGCAGUCACCUGUUCACCUGUGGCACAGCAGCCUUCAGCCCCAUGUGUACCUACAUCAUGGCGAGCUCUACACUGGAACAGUC